rnacentral:rRNA from 1 species
GUGGGGAAUUUUGGACAAUGGGCGCAAGCCUGAUCCAGCAAUGCCGCGUGCAGGAAGAAGGCCUUCGGGUUGUAAACUGCUUUUGUACGGAACGAAAAGGCUCUGGUUAAUACCUGGGGCUCAUGACGGUACCGUAAGAAUAAGCACCGGCUAACUACGUGCCAGCAGCCGCGGUAAUACGUAGGGUGCAAGCGUUAAUCGGAAUUACUGGGCGUAAAGCGUGCGCAGGCGGUUUUGUAAGACAGACGUGAAAUCCCCAGGCUCAACCUGGGAAUGGCGUUUGUGACUGCAAAGCUGGAGUGCGGCAGAGGGGGAUGGAAUUCCGCGUGUAGCAGUGAAAUGCGUAGAUAUGCGGAGGAACACCGAUGGCGAAGGCAAUCCCCUGGGCCUGCACUGACGCUCAUGCACGAAAGCGUGGGGAGCAAACAGGAUUAGAAACCCUGGUAGUCC